rnacentral:rRNA from 1 species
AACGCGAAGAACCUUACCUGGGCUCGAAAUGUUAUGGACCGGGGUAGAAAUAUCCCUUCCCAGCAAUGGGCCGUAAUAUAGGUGCUGCAUGGCUGUCGUCAGCUCGUGUCGUGAGAUGUUGGGUUAAGUCCCGCAACGAGCGCAACCCUUAUCCCCAGUUGCCAUCAUUAAGUUGGGCACUCUGGUGAAACCGCCUCGGAUAACGGGGAGGAAGGUGGGGAUGACGUCAAGUCCUCAUGGCCUUUAUGUCCAGGGCUACACACGUGCUACAAUGGCCGGUACAAACCGUCGCAAACCCGCGAGGGGGAGCUAAUCGGAAAAAGCCGGCCUCAGUUCGGAUCGCAGUCUGCAACUCGACUGCGUGAAGCUGGAAUCGCUAGUAAUCGCGGAUCAGAAUGCCGCGGUGAAUACGUUCCCGGGCCUUGUACACACCGGAGUA